rnacentral:siRNA from 1 species
ACCUUGUUCGUAACGCUCUUAAGG